rnacentral:rRNA from 1 species
UGCCAGCCGCCGCGGUAAUACGGAGGGUGCAAGCGUUGUUCGGGAUUACUGGGCGUAAAGCGCGCGUAGGCGGCUUUUUAAGUCAGAUGUGAAAGUCCACGGCUCAACCGUGGAAGUGCAUUUGAAACUGGAUGGCUUGAGUACUGGAGGGGGUGGUGGAAUUCCCGGUGUAGAGGUGAAAUCCGUAGAUAUCGGGAGGAAUACCGGUGGCGAAGGCGACCACCUGGCCAGAUACUGACGCUGAGGCGCGAAGGCGUGGGUAGCGAACAGGAUUAGAUA